GAUGAACGCUGGCGGCGUGCUUAACACAUGCAAGUCGAACGGAAAGGCCCAAGCUUGCUUGGGUACUCGAGUGGCGAACGGGUGAGUAACACGUGGGUGAUCUGCCCUGCACUUCGGGAUAAGCCUGGGAAACUGGGUCUAAUACCGGAUAGGACGAUGGUUUGGAUGCCAUUGUGGAAAGUUUUUUCGGUGUGGGAUGAGCUCGCGGCCUAUCAGCUUGUUGGUGGGGUAAUGGCCUACCAAGGCGUCGACGGGUAGCCGGCCUGAGAGGGUGUACGGCCACAUUGGGAGUGAGAUACGGCCCAGACUCCUACGGGGGGGAGCAGUGGGGAAUAUAGCACAAUGGGCGCAAGACUGAUGCGGCGACGCCGCGUGGGGGAUGACGGCCUUCGGGUUGUAAACUCCUUUCGCUAGGGACGAAGCGUUUUUGUGACGGUACCUGGAGAAGAAGCACCGGCUAACUACGUG
rnacentral:rRNA from 1 species